CAGCAGGUGGCACAGUGGUUAGUGCUGCAGCAUUUGGACUCAGAAGUCACAGGUUCAACCCCACCUCCUGCUGC
rnacentral:tRNA from 1 species